ACAAUUUAUAUUUUUUUUGCGCAUCAAAUAAUUAAAAUGAUUUUUUCUAACCAUUAUUUUCUAACUAUUACGAUUACAGUUCUUUCAAUUGUGAUUAUUCAAACAACUGCAUUUGACACAUAUAACAAAGAAUUUUCUAUUUUAAACCAAAAAAAAUUUGGAGUAGAUAGUCGUGUUGGUCUUCCUGAAAUAUUGAAAGAAGAAUUUGACAUUGCUAAUGCUG